rnacentral:rRNA from 1 species
CCUACGGGCGGCAGCAGUGAGGAAUAUUGCACAAUGGGGGAAACCCUGAUGCAGCGACGCCGCGUGAGUGAAGAAGGAUUUCGGUACGUAAAGCUCUAUCAGCAGGGAAGAAAAUGACGGUACCUGACUAAGAAUCCCCUGCUAACUACGUGCCAGCAGCCGCGGUAAUACUUAGGGGGCAAGCGUUAUCCGGAUUUACUGGGUGUAAAGUGAGCGUAGACGGCAGCGCAAGUCUAGAGUGAAAUCCCAUGGCUUAACCAUGGAACUGCUUUGGACACUGGGCAGCUAGAGUGCAGGAGAGGUAAGCGGAAUUCCAAGUGUAGCGGUGAAAUGCGUAGAUAUUAGGAGGAACAUCAGUGGCGAAGGCGGCUUACUGGACUGUAACUGACGUUGAGGAUCGAAAGCGUGGGGAGCAAACAGGAUUAGAUACCCCAGUAGUC